ensembl:lncRNA
GGAAGGGGAGGGUUGAAGGGAAAAUAAUGAAACAGAGGAAAAAAGAGAAUAACAAGUAAAAAGCAAUGCAUGUAAAUACAGAGCAAGCAAGUAGGAAAGCUAGGCAUAGCACAGCAAAAGAGAGCAAAGCAAAAGAAGGCAAAGAAUGACAAAAAGCAACCUUGCAGGAAUGGAGGAAUCUGUCCAGAGCUGUGCCCCUGCUUGCCACAGGAGCUGCGCGGGAGGAGAAGAACGUGGGCCAAAAGGAAUGGAGGAAUCUGUCCAGAGCUGUGCCCCUGCUUGCCACAGGAGCUGCGCGGGAGGAGAAGAACGUGGGCCAAAAGGAAUGGAGGAAUCUGUCCAGAGCUGUGCCCCUGCUUGCCAAGGAGCUGCGCGGGAGGAGAAGAACGUGGGCCAAAAGG